CCUACGGGGGGCUGCAGUGGGGAAUAUUGGACAAUGGGGGCAACCCUGAUCCAGCCAUGCCGCGUGUGUGAAGAAGGCCCUCGGGUUGUAAAGCACUUUCAGUGAGGAAGAACGCCUGGUGGUUAAUACCCAUCAGGAAAGACAUCACUCACAGAAGAAGCACCGGCUAACUCCGUGCCAGCAGCCGCGGUAAUACGGAGGGUGCGAGCGUUAAUCGGAAUUACUGGGCGUAAAGCGCGCGUAGGUGGCUUGAUAAGCCGGUUGUGAAAGCCCCGGGCUCAACCUGGGAACGGCAUCCGGAACUGUCAAGCUAGAGUGCAGGAGAGGAAGGUAGAAUUCCCGGUGUAGCGGUGCAAUGCGUAGAGAUCGGGAGGAAUACCAGUGGCGAAGGCGGCCUUCUGGACUGACACUGACACUGAGGUGCGAAAGCGUGGGUAGCAAACAGGAUUAGAUACCCCUGUAGUC
rnacentral:rRNA from 1 species